AGCCAGAAGGGGCCUGGGCUUGCAAUAUAUAAGCCAAGGCCUGAGCUAGGCAGGCAGCCUAGCUCUGCAGGCUGCUGAAAGAACAUCUUCUGGGCAGGAUGACUGCAGCCUUUGAAUAAUACAUAUGAGAUUACAGACAUAUAGGCCCACUGUGAGAUCUGGUUUUGUGAGAUCACAUGGAGCAACCCCAGCUCGAUUUCAUAGGCAUCAUGAGCAAGGAGGGCAUGGUACGUAGCAGAGCUGAUGUGGAUCUUCUGAGCUGGAAUUCAGGACUGAGCAUCAGAAGUGAGCAGACCACCCCACUGCAGAUCACCCCUCCCACUUCAGUGUUACUGCAGGCUUCAAAUCAAUGGGAGAUGCAUAUGUGAAUCUUGGGAAGUGCAGGGCUGAAGGCAGAAGUGUGAAGAGCUGGAUGGGCAAGUCCACCAGACAAGGAGAGCCCUGGUUUUGGAGCAGAGGGUGCAGUGUAAGCCACAUACA